rnacentral:rRNA from 1 species
UACGGAGGGUGCAAGCGUUGCUCGGAAUUAUUGGGCGUAAAGGGUAGGUAGGUGGUCUUAUUUGUCUGGGGUGAAAGCCUUGAGCUUAACUCAAGAAGUGCCCCAGAAACGGUAAGACUAGAGUCCUGGAGAGGGUCGUGGAAUUCCCGGUGUAGCGGUGAAAUGCGUAGAGAUCGGGAGGAACACCAGAGGCGAAGGCGGCUCACUGGACUGGUAUUGACGCUGAGGUGCGAAAGCGUGGGGAGCAAACAGG